ACGGGAGGUAGCAGUGGGGAAUAUUGCACAAUGGGGGAAACCCUGAUGCAGCGACGCCGCGUGGGUGAAGAAGUUUUUCGGAAUGUAAAGCCCUAUCAGCAGGGAAGAUAAUGACGGUACCUGACUAAGAAGCCCCGGCUAACUACGUGCCAGCAGCCGCGGUAAUACGUAGGGGGCAAGCGUUAUCCGGAUUUACUGGGUGUAAAGGGAGCGUAGACGGAAUAGCAAGUCUGAAGUGAAAUGUAGGGGCUCAACCCCUGAACUGCUUUGGAAACUGUUGAUCUUGAGUACCGGAGGGGCAGGCGGAAUUCCUGGUGUAGCGGUGAAAUGCGUAGAUAUUAGGAGGAACACCAGUGGCGAAGGCGAUCUACUGGACGAUAACUGACGCUGAGGCGCGAAAGCGUGGGGAGCAAACAGGAUUAGAUACCCUGGUA
rnacentral:rRNA from 1 species